GCAAGCUCCAAAGGUAAAAGGGCCAAUAUACGAGCCUGGGAAUGCUUUAACCAGUAAUUUAGAACAAGUUAAAGUGGGUCAAGCUGUUUAUGUAGCUGGUAGUUUUUUCAACCACUCUUGCCAGCCAAACAUCCACACAUAUUUUCUUUCACGGACCCUCCAUAUACAAGCUACAGAAUACGUUUUAGCUGGUUCUGAAUUGG
rnacentral:misc_RNA from 1 species